GGGGGGGGGGGGUCACCUAAUGACAGAGCGUCAUUAGGUGGGAAGGAGAUAGGGGAUAGGAGAAGAGGUGGAGAUUGGAAGAAGAAGACGUUAGACACAAUGGGAAGAGUUUGAUGUGUGUGUGUGUGUGUGUGUGUGUGUGUUGCGAGGGAACCUGAAACGUUUCACGUGGCGUUUCAUCGACUUUUCCCCAGAGAGAAACAGACUGAGACCAAAGACAAAGGAGAGCCGGCCGUCGCACUGCAGGGAGCUCCACAGCCUCGUGUCUCAUCAAAGGAGGAGGAAUAGAAAUGUUAUCACCACAGAGAGCUGAGCCGGAUAUUUUUGGGGACUCUUUCAUGUCCUCGUAGGUGAAUGAGUUUGUACUUCCAACGGUAUCGGACUGCCAGUUCUCCAGGUAACCAUCACAGUAAAUGAGGCUAGGCUAGUAAUACACAAAACACACCAAUUCAUCUUAUUUAUAAAUGAAUAUGAAAGCACAAACAUUUAUUGUUUUAAUAUAUAUAUAUAUAUAUAUAUAUAUAUAUAUAUAUAUAUAUGAAUGUGAGUGUGUAACAUAACUUGUUAGGCUGUUGGGAGUUGCUGAUGAACUGAUUCUAGUAAGUGAGUGCAUUUACAGGUUUAUUGGCACUAUCCAGCCUCAAAAGUUUCGGGACAAAAAAUAAUUUCUCUUCUAUUUCAAUAUUUUCUUGUGUUCAAUUAAUUUAUGUACAUCAAAAAAAAGUAUUCACAUAGAUCUAUGUAAUAUAAUAUAUGCUCCUGAUGCUUUAGUUCAUGUUAUGCUGACAAUGUAAGAAAUAACACUUUAUUUGUGUGGGUGCGGAUGUGUGUGUGUGUGUGUGUGCGUCUGGUUUUGCUUGCCAUUAGAGAAUUGUAUAUUGUUACGGGGUUCAAAUCUUUUCUUCUAGUACUUCAGGAAACACAGUCUUUAAGUGGCCAUUGGCACUCUGGUCUGUGGCUAUGAGUGCAGCACUAUGUACUGUCCAGGCCCGAGGCGUUCGGAGGUCUAAAGCCAUACCUAGAUGAACGGUGUACCGUGCCUUUGACACUGGCUACUCUCUACGAAGUGUUGCAGCGUUGACAGAGAUGACAAAGACUGGGCCGGGCUAUAUUUAGCCUGUUUUAAAAUAUCAACUAGGUCUAUUAGUAUUAUGGAUUCUUUUUUCUAUGCUUCGGUGGUAGCAGCUACGUUGAAAAGCCUGAAGCAGCUGCUUCAAAUGUCUCCUUAUCACCACCCCCGUGAAACCGUAUCCCACCAUCAGCAACUGUAGCUUAUUUCGCUCUCAAACGUUGUCCACGUUGACUGAAUAUGCCUUCCUCCCCACAAAAACAAUGCCCUCAUUCCAAAUAAUAGAAUCCAGUGUAAAAGACCCCAUGGUUCCUCGUAGUUGAAUGGACGAGGUGUUGAGUGGUAGCUUUGUGGUAAAUGUGUUCAUUUAUAAACAAAUUUCCAUGUUUGGGUUCACCUGAACAAUCUCCUGUGUCGUUAACAGACCAAGAAGGAUAAUUAACAUUACCAUUUGUUAGUUCCUCCUCAAACCAAAUGAUUUCUUUUGGUCCAAAGGAGAGCAUUAAACAUCGCUUUAUUGCUACCCUGCCUGAACACUCGUUCGACAUACAUUGUAUAGUUCAUUUAUAUUCAUGUGUUUCUCAGGUCUGCAAUGCACAACAUUCACAUACCAUUGCGUCACAUACACAGUGAGCUCAACACACGUUGGAAUAAUCAGGUCAGUUGCAGUGUGCUUGUGUUGUUCAUUGAACCAAAUGCACCACUUUCUCUUAACUCGCCUAUUGGGGUUGGUGUAGUUGGCGGCAUCUGUUUGUGAGUAUCCCCAGGAGGACGCACACACACAAACACUAGACACACACACACACACAAAUACACUCCACACACACACCAACACACACGACAGCCAGGCACACAUGCAUGCGCACACGCACAAAUACACACAUAAACAAACGUACACACAAUCAAAAGUGCAGCGCACUCCCGGACACACAUGAGGGCCUUGUAGGAGACAGCCAGUGUGCUUUUACUGAGUGUGUUAAAGAGAGGGAGCACGCACACACCAUUAAAGAAUGGUUUAAUCAGCAAAUAACAACCAGGGGCCAAUAAAGUAACACGCCGGGAAACUGAAGAAUAAAAGAAAGUAAUGGGAUUUCUGUAAUGAUCACCGCUCCUCCUGUGGGGAGAGAGGUGAUCUGAGUUUGUUCAGUCCUCCUGUCGCCAGAGAACAGACGCUUGGACCAGAAGGUUUGAGGAUGUGUACCCUUUAUGAUAUCCUGCACUUUCUUUCUGAAUGAUUUUAAUACCAGAUGAAUGGAUAUGGCCUGGAUAUGAAAUAUUGUACCUUUACACCAUCAUCAUCAUCAAGACCACUACAAAGGCAAAGUUCUUGAUUUGGUCGUAGCGUGUGUAUUCAUGGAAAUUAACGUGUUUGUUUCUCUGGUCUGACUAAAGGUUGAAAUGGGUCAAAUGUCCUUGUGUAUUGCUUGUUUUUUUUAUGUUCUCUUACGAUAAUUUAAUCUGAUUUGGCUGUUUUGUCCCAUGUUUGUUGAAGUUUUUCAAACAGUUUCUUAUAUGUUGAUUGAUAAUGUAACAUUGGCUCGAAUCGUUCCGUGAUACAUGUACAACUGAAUAUUUUUACACCAUAUGACAUUUGUGAUUUAUUUUAGGCAUGAAAAAUAUUAAUAUUUGGAUAAUAUAUCUUUAUACAUAAUACACUGUAUAGACAAUGAGGAGCAAGAAGGGAUGCUGCAGAAUGAAGAUUAGUUUAGUUUGGAUGGUCUGCUUAAAGAUCGGUUUAAAUGUUCAAUGGCCACACUACAGUUGAGCAUGUUGUCAUGUUUUCUGUUUUCAAAGAUACAAACAUUUAUGAUGAGAUGACUCUCCCACAUAUUGUUUAAUUAGAAAAUGAAUGCUCUGAUGCAAUUGUAGAUUUACAUUCAAAUUUUUGUAUUUCUUUUUUUUUUCUAAAAAAUAUUAUAUGCAGUACCUUUAUGUUAACAAAGGAAAGAAACAAUGCUGAUGGACGCUAUAUCUGAUGCAUUGUGUAAUUAUUCUUGCGUUGUACUGUUCCAACAAAACUGACCAUGCUGGAUGGACACUGAAAUACACUGACAGAAAACCUCCGCCAAAGGAUGUGAGAAAACCAAUUUGCUUAACAUCUCCCCCCUCGAGUACUGAUUAUUUAUUGAUAAUAUCAAACUGACUAUACUAUACCUGACACAUCACCAUCCACCAACCCCAACAGGACGACCUACAGACUACAUGAACAGUGACCUAAAUUCACACACACACACACACACACACACACACACAGUGCCUCUGAACAAUGUUGCCAAUAGAACUGAAUGGAUGUCUGGCUGACUGAUUUUGUGUGUGUUUGACAGUUGAAUAAACAGAUGAUGAUGAU